rnacentral:rRNA from 1 species
AGGUGGAGCCUGGUCGGUUUAAUCGGACUCAACGCCGGGAAACUCACCAGAUAAGACAGCUGAAUGAUAGUCGGGCUGAAGACUCUACUUGACUAGCUGAGAGGAGGUGCAUGGCCGUCGUCAGUUCGUACUGUGAAGCAUCCUGUUAAGUCGGGCAACGAGCGAGACCCACGCCAACAGUUGCUAGCUCGUCCUCCGGGAUGGAGAGGACACUGUUGGGACCGCCUCUGCUAAAGAGGAGGAAGGAAUGGGCAACGGUAGGUCAGCAUGCCCCGAAUUAUCUGGGCUACACGCGGGCUACAAUGGGUGGGACAAUGGGUAUCGACACCGAAAGGUGAAGGCAAUCUCCUAAACCCAUCCUUAGUUCGGAUUGUGGGCUGCAACUCGCCCACAUGAAGCUGGAAUCUGUAGUAAUCGUGUUUCAAAAUAGCACGGUGAAUAUGUCCCUGCUCCUU